GCUAUGACAAUGUUGCACUACU
rnacentral:miRNA from 1 species